rnacentral:lncRNA from 1 species
AUAUCGGGAGCUUUCUUCGAUAUCGGUGUCGAGUCGGCUCUGAUCUAGGCUUGUUGUGUCGGUCUAGAUUAGGUUGUUUAUAUUUUCCUUUGGAUUAUUGUUUUGAUGAUGACUACCCGUAUGUUUGUGUUUUGAGAUUUAUCUUUGGGAUAAGAUUUAUUUGCUCAUGGCAUGUAUAUAUUUGAUCACUCUGAUUUAUAUUCCACUGCAACUGUUGAGGUUUAUAUACAUGUCUA